rnacentral:misc_RNA from 1 species
CUCCAGCUCUGAUGACCCCGUGUCCUUCGGUCCCGCCUGCUCGGUGUGCGCCCCUGAGGCCGCUGCUGCAGCGGCGAAGGAAGCAGAUGAUCUAGGCUCUGACUUCACAGCCGGAACUAUGGCCCCCGUUGAGACCUCUUCCAUAGGUGUAAUUUUUUCACUCUGCUUCGUAUUCUGCUGGGUUUGGGUUUGUGUUUGGUCUGCAAAACCGCAUUUAGU